rnacentral:lncRNA from 1 species
UUUGUAGCUGCCUUGCCCUCCUCUCAACCUUUGCAACUUCUCCUCAGUUCCCAGCCUAACCAAGUAACCUUCAAGGAAGAAAAUUCAGGAUGUGGUCCUGGAUGCCUCACAAGCCUAUGUAACUGGAAUGUGGCUUCUGUUAUUCCUUUGCAUGGAAGAAUGAAGGCUGGCAUUACUUGCAAAGGUGUGGGUGAGCCUCAGUGGCUCUGCAAUAAGAUAUGUUGAUUCAUCAGACCUGUCCUCUGGGCCAUUCACUAGCCUUACUUACUGCAGCUGCCAGCGCGUGCGGGAUCGGAAGCCGAGCUGAGAACGGCGGUUGGCAAUUAGCAGAGCGAGGGCAGCGAGCGCGACGGCUCGUAGGCUGGAGGUUUCCAUCUGCACUGAUUCCCGUGGGCUGCGUUUAUUCAUCGUGCCUGGGCGUGGAACAAAAGCUGUGUCGAACAAGCAGCCCGCUGCUCUGGGCACUUCUGCCUCCAUGGUGCCACGUGUGAACAGAAAACAGGCCGAGCCCAGGGUAGGGCCGCCACCCCGAUGCCAGGCCCAGUGCUAGUGCUGUCUCCCCGGAGGGAGAAGCCUGCCCGUCCCAAGGCGGCUGCCUGGGGCAGGGAGCCAGAGCCCUGGCCCUUGCUUACAUUGUAAAGCCCACUUUACCCCAAUACUUGAAUGAACUCCCCCUUUCAGAGGGAGUUUGGCACUCUGAAGUUAAAACUGAGAUGUCCCUACUUGAACGUUCAGGAUUAGGCCUGAUGAAAAGUCUUCUGGAAUCAAUGGGACUAUUUCGGCUGGCAGCGCUGCGCUUUGGGUCAGGCCUUACUGAG